GCGAUUUUUGUUGUUUUUGUUCUCACCUCUGUUGGUCCUGAUCUCUGCUUUGUCCAGUUUGGUGACGAUGUCGUCCUCCACACCAGAGAGCUGAAACACACAGUCGUACCUCCUCCAGUCUUCAUCUGGGACUGAUGAAAGGUCCAGGUCUACACUCAUCUGGAAGGAUCCAUCGUGGUUGGGGAGGAUCUCUCCGAGGUCCACGUCCUCAUGAAGCUCCUCUCCAUCUUUCCUCCAGAACAUCAUGGCUCUGUCAGGGUAGAAACCUGUAGCGUGGCAGCUGACUGGAGAGGACGGAGACUUCUGGAGGA